AACGCGAAAUCUCCCUUCGGGGAGAAAGUAGAGUGGCGCACGGGUGAGUAACACGUAGGUAAUUUGCCUUCGGGUGGGGAAUAACGACCGGAAACGGUCGCUAAUACCGCAUAAUGCAGCGGCUCGACAUCGAGACAGUUGUUAAAGCGGGGGAUUCGCAAGAACCUCGCGCCUGAAGAGAAGCCUGCGGCAGAUUAGCUAGUUGGCAGGGUAAUGGCCUACCAAGGUAACGAUCUGUAACCGGCCUGAGAGGGCGGUCGGUCACACUGACACUGACAUACGGGUCAGACUCCUACGGGAGGCAGCAGUCGGGAAUUUUGGGCAAUGGGCGAAAGCCUGACCCAGCAACGCCGCGUGAAGGAUGAAAUCCCUCGGGAUGUAAACUUCGCAAGAAUGGGAAGAAUAAGUAGAAGCUAAUAUCUUCUAUGAUGACGGUACCAUUUGUAAGCUCCGGCUAACUCCGUGCCAGCAGCCGCGGUAAUACGGGGGGAGCAAGCGUUGUUCGGAUUUACUGGGCGUAAAGGGCGCGUAGGCGGCCACGACAAGUCAGUUGUGAAAUCUCUGGGCUUAACUCAGAACGGUCAACUGAUACUGUCGGGCUAGAGUGCAGAAGGGGCAACUGGAAUUCUCGGUGUAGCGGUGAAAUGCGUAGAUAUCGAGAGGAACACUGCGGCGAAGGCGGGUUGCUGGGCUGACACUGACGCUGAGGCGCGAAAGCUAGGGGAGCGAACGGGAUUAGAUACCCCGGUAGUCCUAGCCUUA
rnacentral:rRNA from 1 species